UACGGGGGGGGCAAGCGUUGUUCGGAAUUACUGGGCGUAAAGGGCUCGUAGGCGGCCAACUAAGUCAGACGUGAAAUCCCCAGGCUUAACCGGGGAACUGCGUCUGAUACUGGAUGGCUUGAGUUUGGGAGAGGGAUGCGGAAUUCCAGGUGUAGCGGUGAAAUGCGUAGAUAUCUGGAGGAACACCGGAGGCGAAGGCGGCAUCCUGGACCAACACUGACGCUGAUGAGCGAAAGCCAGGGGAGCAAACGGG
rnacentral:rRNA from 1 species